GCAGAAAAUACUUCUUUCUGUUAGAGAGAGCAAGAGUAAGUUGAAGUAAAAUCUCAAAUACGAGAGUUUGAGGGUUUGAGACAAAAGCUUAGUUAGAAGCUUUUGGUGUGAGAAAAUUAGAUAGUAAUUUUCUCGGGGUAUAACGGGUUGUGAGUUGAGUGUUGUGAGUGUUGUAAACACUGUAUAUUUUUUCUCCCUUUGUUAAAUAGAAGUGCAGCAAGAGGUGUGAGGCAAGAGAGAGUUUAGGAGAAUUUUUUUUAAAUUUCUUACUUGCAAGAGCUCAAGUGAGCUCCCUUCGCCGGGUUGUUUCUUCGCCGACCGGCCACUAGGCUCUGAACCGAGAACGUGUACUCGUUCCUCCAUCUUCAGGCUACCAAACCCAACAAUCGAAAGGCCGAAGCCUUCUCUAUAUAUUUUCCUGACCAAAGGCCGCAAUAUCCUUCGGCGGCCAACGUCGAAUUCCCGACUUAGCCACCGGCCAACUUACGGCCUUCGUUUCUCACUAUCCUUACGACGAAAAAGGAUCGAGAAACCACCGUUGUGUAGCCUGAUCUACCUCGCACGAGGAAAACUAAGUCGUAGACCUUCGCGGCUAAACUCCAUCGCGGAACGACGACCAGAAAAACCCCCGGCGAACAACUUCCAUUAGUGCUCACUUGGACAAGGGUUCAAAUAAACAAAAGCGUCUGAGUAACCUAUCGCGCUAAGGAAAGAGAAUCAUUGUCUUAAGUAGCAAUACACUGCAAUCAGGUUGAGCUGAUGUGAUGAUGGUGCUGCAAUGAGCGGAGUCUCCAGGGUUGUUAAUAAAUAGUUAACCUGUCUAGAAUAUGUCUUCAUACAUAUGUCUAGCUACUUUCCGCUGCAAGAUGUUGUUGAUGUUAUAGUAUGUUAUGUCAUACUUUGAGUCUUAAGAGAAUGGUUUCAUAUGAUGUAUAACUUGAUUAAUGAUAUUAAUUAAGUUUUAUGCUGUCUUUCAUAGACUAUUUUCA